rnacentral:lncRNA from 1 species
AGGCUGGGCAUUGAGCCCGGGGGUGGGGCGGCAGGGAGAUGAGGAGACAGAGGGACAGAGGCAGAGAGAGAGAGAGAGACAAGGACCGAGAGAGGGGAAGAGAAAGAGAGACACACACGGAGCCGGAUUCAGGCUGAGAGAGGCAGAGACCAGAGCAGGUGGCUCCUCAGGAUCUCGGACCCAGAGACGGCCUCCCUGGGGCCCCCUCGGAGCAGAGCUAGGAAGGCCUGAGGUGGAACCGGGCUAAUUAGUGCUCAGAACUAAGAUAAUCGCUGCUUGGAAUGUUCCCUGGGAGGUCCAGGAAUCGGUCAGGAAGUCCUGUCGGCUCUCCCUUUAAGAUACAUCAGAAUCCAGCCAGGGUCCCCUCCACCUGCAACCAGGGGGUCAGAGCACCUUCUGUGGCCUCACGACUCCACCUUCCUCCGCUUGGCCCACUCCCCACGCGCGGCCGAGGGGCCCGUUGCUUCCAGGUGGGUCCUAAGUCGGCUCUCGGCCCUCUGCCCAUAACCCUCCAUGGCUCCCGUCUCCGAGUCUUCCCGAGGGCACAGGGCCCUGCCUGCUCCGGCCCCCGGCCUUUCCACCUGUCUCACUGUUCUCUCCCUGGCUCAUGCAUUCCCGCCACACGGGCCUCCCUGUCGCACUGGGCAGGGCUGACCUCCUUUCACUGCCCUUCCCUCGGCCUUCGGGCUCUUCCCCCAGUUCUGCUGCACAGCUGGGCCCCUUGCCUUACUCAGGUCUCAUCUCAAGGUCACCGCCUCCUGGAGGCCUUCCCUGGUUACCCUGCUAGCUGUCACCCCAGUCCUUCUUCUUGACUUCCACCACGUGAUACAUUAUUUAUUUGUUUGUCUUUCUCCUUCCUUAG